rnacentral:rRNA from 1 species
CCUACGGGAGGCAGCAGUGAGGAAUAUUGGUCAAUGGACGAGAGUCUGAACCAGCCAAGUAGCGUGAAGGAUGACUGCCCUAUGGGUUGUAAACUUCUUUUAUAUGGGAAUAAAAUGUUCCACGUGUGGGAUUUUGUAUGUACCAUAUGAAUAAGGAUCGGCUAACUCCGUGCCAGCAGCCGCGGUAAUACGGAGGAUCCGAGCGUUAUCCGGAUUUAUUGGGUUUAAAGGGAGCGUAGGUGGAUUGUUAAGUCAGUUGUGAAAGUUUGCGGCUCAAACGUAAAAUUGCAGUUGAAACUGGCAGUCUUGAGGACAGUAGAGGUGGGCGGAAUUCGUGGUGUAGCGGUGAAAUGCUUAGAUAUCACGAAGAACUCCGAUUGCGAAGGCAGUUCACUGGACUGCAACUGACACUGAGGCUCGAAAGUGUGGGUAUCAAACAGGAUUAGAUACCCGAGUAGUC